GGUGGGUUUGCUUCGGUUGGAAAGACAUACAACAACAGUGAAGCAGUCCGUAGAGCUGUUGAUUUUUGCUUUCAACACAAAACGAAGAAGGGGGUUGGGGUGAAAGCCUUGAAUCAUGCCCAUCUAUGAAGUAUCAACAGUUGGAAGGGAAUCGAACGAAUCUGGUACAAACAUCAUGGGCUAUGCUGGGACUUCUUUAUGGCGGACAAGCUCAAAGAGAUACGACACCGCUACAUAAAGUAGCAAGGAUUUUAAUAAACGCGCAAAUGGUC